CUACGGGGGGCACCAGUGGGGAAUUUUGCGCAAUGGGCGAAAGCCUGACGCAGCAAUACCGCGUGAGUGAAGAAGGCCUUUGGGUCGUAAAGCUCUUUUAUUGGGGAAGAUAGUGACGGUACCCAAUGAAUAAGCACCGGCUAACUCCGUGCCAGCAGCCGCGGUAAUACGGAGGGUGCCAGCGUUGUUCGGAUUUACUGGGCGUAAAGGGCACGUAGGCGGCAUAGUAAGUUAAGGGUGAAAUCCCGGGGCUCAACUCCGGAACUGCUCUUAAAACUGCUAAGCUGGAGAUAGUCAGAGGCGGGUAGAAUUCCUGGUGUAGAGGUGAAAUUCGUAGAUAUCAGGAGGAAUACCGGAGGCGAAGGCGGCCCGCUGGGACUAUUCUGACGCUAAGGUGCGAAAGCGUGGGGAGCAAACGGGAUUAGAUACCCGGGUAGUC
rnacentral:rRNA from 1 species